rnacentral:rRNA from 1 species
GAUGAACGCUGGCGGCGUGCCUAAUACAUGCGAGUCGAGCGAACAGAUGAGGAGCUUGCUCCUCUGACGUUAGCGGCGGACGGGUGAGUAACACGUGGAUAACCUACCUAUAAGACUGGGAUAACUUCGGGAAACCGGGGCUAAUACCGGAUAAUAUAUUGAACCGCAUGGUUCAAUAGUGAAAGACGGUUUUGCUGUCACUUAUAGAUGGAUCCGCGCCGCAUUAGCUAGUUGGUAAGGUAACGGCUUACCAAGGCAACGAUGCGUAGCCGACCUGAGAGGGUGAUCGGCCACACUGGAACUGAGACACGGUCCAGACUCCUACGGGAGGCAGCAGUAGGGAAUCUUCCGCAAUGGGCGAAAGCCUGACGGAGCAACGCCGCGUGAGUGAUGAAGGUCUUCGGAUCGUAAAACUCUGUUAUUAGGGAAGAACAAAUGUGUAAGUAACUAUGCACGUCUUGACGGUACCUAAUCAGAAAGCCACGGCUAACUACGUG